rnacentral:rRNA from 1 species
CAGCUCGUGUCGUGAGAUUGGUUGGCUAAGUCCCGCAACGAGCGCAACCCUAUUGUUAGUUGCCAUCAUUCAGUUGGGCACUCUAGCGAGACUGCCGGUAAUAAACCGGAGGAAGUGGGAUGACGUCAAAUCAUCAUGCCCCUUAUGACCUGGGCUACACACGUGCUACAAUGGUUGGUACAACGAGUUGCGAGUCGGUGACGGCGAGCUAAUCUCUUAAAGCCAAUCUCAGUUCGGAUUGUAGGCUGCAACUCGCCUACAUGAAGUCGGAAUCGCUAGUAAUCGCGGAUCAGCACGCCGCGGUGAAUACGUUCCCGGGCCUU